rnacentral:rRNA from 1 species
CCUUACCAACCCUUGACAUCCUCGGACCGCCAGAGAGAUCUGGUUUUCACUUCGGUGACCGAGUGACAGGUGCUGCAUGGCUGUCGUCAGCUCGUGUCGUGAGAUGUUCGGUUAAGUCCGGCAACGAGCGCAACCCACAUCCUUAGUUGCCAGCAGUUCGGCUGGGCACUCUAGGGAAACUGCCCGUGAUAAGCGGGAGGAAGGUGUGGAUGACGUCAAGUCCUCAUGGCCCUUACGGGUUGGGCUACACACGUGCUACAAUGGCAUCAACAAUGGGUUAAUCCCCAAAAGAUGUCUCAGUUCGGAUUGGGGUCUGCAACUCGACCCCAUGAAGUCGGAAUCGCUAGUAAUCGCGUAACAGCAUGACGCGGUGAAUACGUUCCC